rnacentral:lncRNA from 1 species
GUGUUCUACAGGAGAGAACAUGAAUGUCUGGAUGUGGUUGAGGACCAUUCUUUUAGGCGGAGUCCUAAUAUCCAGUCUGGUUGAGUCCCGGCUGAUCUCCAGAUGUGAUCUGCAGAAUCAGCUGCAAAAUGAGUUUCCUGGAAACUGCAAAGAUGGCAUGAGUGACUCUAAAGCUUUGGAGGAUCUGGUGGCAAAGAUCAUUUGCAAGGUGCGACUCACCUCCUACUUCAAUACCAGUCAGGUUACCACUGUGGACCAGCUUGUUCCUGGAAUGCUUGUUGAAGAAAGUUAUGAAGUGAGAGAUAAGAGAGGGUUUAAUCCCAAUAGCAGACAGAAAGAGGUUGGCCUUCCUUUUGGAAGCUCCAGGGUUCCUGCUAACAAUGUGAAAAGUGGCCUUGAGAAAGGAAACAAAGGUGGUCAGGGGUCUAGAGACAAGAGGGAUGUUAAACCUACAACCAGAGGAGAUGAUAAAGGUCUCUCUCCUGGGGCAAAGCAUGGUGAAACAGGUAGCAAACGCGGCGAAGGUUCAAGGGGCAAGAGGCACGCUUUGUCAUCUGUAGUUCCUCCACAUCCUCUAGGCAUUCCUGGGAAUGUUAGUGGUGCUGGCAGAAAGGCAGCAAGGGAUCAUGGGCACGGUGGCCGGAGCAAGAGGGAUGUUCCUUCAGGAGGCAGGAGAGAAGGAGCUGGCAGUACUGAGAGCAGUGGAUUGAGAGGUGGUGGGCAGAAUAACAGAGUCAGGAGGGAUGUAAAGGGACAUGGCAGACACUGGGGUACUGAGGCAGUGGUUUCUUCACGUGAACAUUCUUUAGGCAGUAGUGGCAGAAAUGAGAACGUGGGUCAUGGGACGGGUAAGAAAGACGGCCACGUGUCAAGAGGUAAGAGAGAAACUCGACCAAAUGGGAAACAAGAGAGAGUUGGGUCUGGAAAUGCUGGUGCCGACAGUGAUUUGACAAGGAGACAUGGACCAGGUAGCAGACCUAACCAUGGGUCAAGAGGAAAAAGGCAUGCUGACCCAGUAGGCAGAAGAGAGAAGUCCGGGUUGAAAAUUCAUCCACAGGUAGUCCUUGGUAGUCCAAGGACGGACGCAAAUGAUGGUGGUCUCAACAGUCUUUACAAUGCUGGUAUGUCUGCUUCUCCUGCAAGUCCCGGUAGUGCAGACAGGUUUCCUGGUCAUCAAGAUAGUUCCAGUCGGUCUGCCAUGAGGGGUAGCACAAGUGGCAAACGGGACAAAGGGUCGAGAGAGAAAAGAGAAGUCUGGUCUGAAGCCUGGUGGCAGGAUGCAGGAUCUGCAGUUCCCAUAUGGUCAGGCCCAAUGGCGCUGCCCCCGCCAUCCUUCAGAGAAGGACAGAGAAAUAUGAAGCAUGGAUGCCUUCCCAUCGGGCCUUUUAGAGAUGGGCAGCAAGACGGACAAGAGGCAGAGUCUUCUGGAGAAGCGUUGGAAGAGGGUAUGGGAGGGAGACUGUAUGGACUUUUCCAGCUCUCAAAUCAUGAAGCCUGCAAAUCCGGGUCUACUCCCUCUCUCAACAUCUGCCAGAUGGAGUGCAGUGAGUUGAUCAAUGAUGACAUCAGUGAUGACAUUGCCUGUCUGAAGGCUCUGCAGAAAGCGAAAAUGAUGAUCAACAUGAUGUUUCCAGAUGAGUGCGCCACUGCAUCCACUGCCUCUGAAUAUUUAGCAGAAUGCUAAAUGUACAUCUACAGGAAAAUGGCUCCCUAUGAAUGACGGCUUGCCUCUGACAGUCUACGUCCAGACACACAUUUACAUUUUAUUAAAACUUUUUACGUUUUCAUUAUGACUGUGUCCAUCAAUGGCCUCAAGAUUUUGAGGCAAUAUUUUUGUGUUUUGCCUAUGCAAUGUUUGUAUGAAAUACUCACUAAAGCACCAACUAAAUCUAUUAAACUAACUAAAUCAUAACUGCAUAUGGACAAAUAAACCAUUCCCAUUCUGCA